CGAAUAGGCCACCACGGUUCUUCAUUCUUCAGGUAAAAUGUAAAUGUUAAUUUUUUAUUAGCUAGUAGAUUGACACUUCAUCUCUAUAGUUUUGUAUUCUUUCUGCUUGUUAAUGUUGAAUCUGUCCAUUUAGUUCUUGGGUAGCAACUGAAGAAGAAUGAACAGCAGCCCGAGUAGCAUAGAAGCUGAUCUGCUCUGGGGUGAUUCUUAUGUUUGUUGGGUUCUUGUUUUUUUUUGAGAAGCAACAAGUUGAUUAGUGCUAUUACUUAGUUAUGGUAUUGUGUAGUGCUACUGGCUCAUGGAGAUCUUGUUUUGGCUUCAAUGGCUACUUCAGCUGUACCAAGCGCGUGUACCAACUGUACAUAAACGCUAUCCGAUUUCUAGAAGGAAGCAAUACACUAGCAAAUCUAGCUAUUCCGGUCAGAUGCACUAGUACACGAAGUAGGCUGCUCUGGCUUUGUCGAUUCUUCAGCGGCAAGCCGAAACGCACACAUGUAACACACAAUGGCUAUUUUUCUUUUUCUCUCUCUCCAAGAUACAUAUGCUGAAUAGACACAAAGAUGCCAUUACAUAUUUUGCUAGGGGAUUCGUUGGGUUGGCUAUUCCUUUUAAAUGCUUACUGAUGAUCUUUCAUCCCCAAAAGUCUGACAUUUGUUAUUGGCUGGGUGCUCGCUCCAGUAUUUCUAUGCACAUGAAUAUUUUCCUGUCCUUCUGAGAGUAAUUAAUUACAUUUCCCUAAUCUUUCCCAUAAGCCAUGCCUUUGAUAUGACCCAUGUGGCAGAAGUUUGACAUGGAAAAGAUGAUCCCCAGUCUAAAUUUGCAAUUCUCAUCACAGGAUCCAAUAAUGGAGGGUAGCAGUGCGAUGUCUCCUCUAGUAGAGCCCUCAAUUGCAAUGAUCGCAGCAUGUGCACCAGCACUAUCAGGUGACAAUAGUGAUACGAGAAAAUCAAGAUUUCCUAAUGUAUCUAACAUUAUGUUAAUCCCUUGUGUGCUAUUGGUUGCUAAAAAAUUGUUUGCAGCCAUGGAAUCGGUUAACAGUGUUCAAAAUCAAGAUUUCAGCGAUGCAACGUCAUUCGCAGAAAUUAAUUCCCCAAUGCUCCAUGGAAGGAAUUGAAUUCCUGCACAAUAGUUUGUGUGGCAUUGCUGUGAAAAGGAAGAUAGUUGCUGUGAGGGACAAGCUAGAAGAUCUCAUACGAAAAUCCAAACGCUCCAUGGAAGGAAUUGAAUUCCUGCACAAUAGUUUGUGUGGCAUUGAGUUGGGUUUAGCCCAACUAGUUUCGACCGUACCAUGCAAUACACAAGAAAAUGAGGAGUCAUGUAUUGGGAGUGUCAUUCCAAAGGAUGUUACCAUCCUCACACCUAAGGAUAUCAAUGCAAGGGGCACAUGCUCUAGAAUAAAGCGCCAUAGGGAUGGUGCGAGGAGUGGAUCCGGUGAGAAGAGAAGGCCUGGAAUUCAUCAAAAAGUCAAGCACAAAUGCAGCAUUUGUAAGGAAAUGGUGUUUCAUGAUGCAAGAACAUAUUCUAAGAAACAAACAACAAAACAGUCACUAGUACAAAACAGGGCUUUCGUCACAGGGCAAUAUUCACAUUAGUCCCGGUUCAGUCACGAACCGGGACUAAUGUGAGCAUUGGUCCCGGUUCGUGCGGCUAAGGCAUUAGUCCCGGUUCACCUGGGCCCUUUAGUCCCGGUUGGUGCCACGAACCAGGACUAAAGGGUGCGAUGCCCAUUAGUACCGGUUGGUGGCACCAACCAGUACUAAUGGGCUUUGAGGCAUUAGUACCGGUUCAUGGCACGAACCGGUACUAAAGGUCCCAUUUUCAAACUCUACCCCCCCCUUGGACCGCCUUUUCAGUUUUAGAAAAAACAAAAGAAAAUGAUGGAAAUGUCAAAAAAAUAAAAUAAAAUAAGUUUCCCAUGUGAUUGUGGUCUAGUUGUUGGGAAAAUUUACAAAUAUGAAUUUCGUCUUUAUUUGCAAAAUCUCUCUGGAAUUUGUAAAAUGGGCAUAACUUUUGCAUACGAACUCGGAUUAAAAAGUUUUUUAUAUGAAAAAUCAUCUACUCGGAAAGUUACAUCCGAAUUUAACUGGGGAACCUUGUUAAACAUUUUCAAAAUCCUCAAAUACCUAACAGAAAAAAGUUACGGGGCUUUUAAGAUCUGGAGAGGCAAAAAAAUUCAAAAAAUUUCAAACUUACUAGUGGGAAACUUACUAGUAACAGAAAAAAUAUAUAGUUUCAAAUUUUAUAUUUGGAAAAAAUGUGGUCAAAUCUGGUCAAACUGUGGUCAAACUAUGGUCAAACAAUGGUCAAACUAAUUAUUCUAGAAUAUUAGUGUUACUAAAUAAUUAUUUCAGUUUUUUUGAAUUUUGGUCAAAUCUGGUCAAACUGUGGUCAAACAAUGGUCAAACUAAUUAUUCCAGAAAUAUUAGUGUUACUAAAUAAUUAUUGUUUUUUAAAACAAUAGUUUCAAACUCAAACAGUGAAAUGUGUCACUUCAUGCUCAAGCUAAAUUCCUGAGGGUUAAUAGGAUUGACAUCUUACUAUUGUCAGGAAAACAAUAAGUGCAGACUUGGAAACGAGGGAGAAUAGAACCCGGAAGUUAAGUAUGCUCAGGCUGGAGUAGUGAGAGGAUGGGUGACCGUCCGAGAAGUUAGAUGAUUUGGAAUGAUGAGGGGUGAUUAGAGAUUAGAGGAUAAAUUGAGCAGUGAUGAGGGGUGGUGAUUAGAGAUUAGAGGUUAAAAUAAUUCAGAAAUUUAAAAAUAAAAAAAAUUCAAAAAAAAAAUUCAGAAAAAAAAAUCAUAAAAUUUCCUUUAGUCCCGGUUGGUGUUACCAACCGGGACUAAAGGUGGAGCUCCACGUGGCCGCGGCCUUUAGUCCCGGUAACCGGGACUAAAGGGGGAGGCAUUAGUAACGACCCUUUAGUCCCGGUUCAAAAACCGGGACUAAAGGCCCUUACCAACCGGGCCAAAAGCCCCUUUCUCUACUAGUGAGUAGAGGUUUGUGCUCCUUCUUGCUUUGAAGACUACCACUUAUUUGUCUUGCUAUGACCGCUCAACUAGGCUGAUUAAAAUGAUUAGGCAUACAUAAAUCAUUUACCAAAGAUAUGUGCGCCUUCCAUUUUUUUACUGGCCUAUGGUAUGGCUACAACAAGGAUGUGUGUAUGUGCUUUAGUACUAAUCCUUCGUCCAUGACAUGAGCCAAUCUGCCAUCUUGUUCAUUUAUUUUUUUCCCAUGCUUCUGUGGUUUUCUUAUUAUUACAAGAUAUAAUAUAAUGCAUGCCAUCAGGUUUUUUGUUUAUAGCUAUCAAAUUUGAAUAAUAAUUUGCAUCUGCAGGACAGUCAUAAAACUCCCUUUAAAUUGCUCAAUGCCCCUUAUUUGUCGUUCUCAUUUGUGCUUUUAACUAAUCAUGGAAUUGUAAUGCAUUUAUCAUAGGUCUAUAAUGGAAUAAUGAACAAAAUAUGUGUACUCUCCCUAUUAGACAUAUCCAACUGUCACAGGCUAUUUUAUUUGAUUUGAAAACUCCCUUCUAGAUGCUGGAAAGCCAGUUUAACUUACAAAGUUAUCCUGAUUGGUUACAUAUGUAUUAAUAUGUUUCAAGAAUUUCAUCCUAAGUUUGGCAUAUAGGUUAUGUAUCCUAGGUUGGAGUGCUGAAUGCAACUAGACAUAUAUAAUGACUGUCUCUCUUCUCGAGAUAUGCUAUUUGGUAUAUGUUUCUGAUUGACACCUAUUUACUUGGUGUGUUUACCUAGGUAGGUCGAACUGAUCAAGUCUAUAAGAGUCCAAUCUCUCCCAUCAGGAAGCUCGGUUACCAGGAAGCACUAACACGAGGCAGAAUGAUAGAUAUUUUCGGUCUUGUACCAGCAAGACGCUUGUUGGGCGAUGAUAAUUUCAGUCUUUACCACUUGGUCUUGCUGGCCAUAUACUAAAAAUGAUCUAUAUGUUUCAUGUACUCAAGUACUCAAAUGCUUGUUGAGCACUGAUAAAUUCAGUCCUUAAUUUGUUCUACUUCCAGUUUGACAUGUACGUGUGGUUCUACUUGCCUCUUGUGAUGUGUUCUCAUGUACUCAAGUACUGAAAUGCUUGCUGAACAGCGAUAAUUUCAAUCCUUAAAUUGCUAUAUUUUCCAGUUUGACAUGUAUGUGUGGUCGUACUUGAUCUGGGAUGGCUUAUUAUCUCACGUGCUAAAAUAUUUGUG
rnacentral:lncRNA from 1 species